UACGAAAGGGGCUAGCGUUGUUCGGAAUUACUGGGCGUAAAGCGCACGUAGGCGGCCUUGUAAGUUGGGGGUGAAAUCCCCGGGCUCAACCCGGGAACUGCCUUCAAGACUGCAAAGCUCGAGGACGCGAGAGGUUAGCGGAAUUCCGAGUGUAGAGGUGAAAUUCGUAGAUAUUCGGAAGAACACAAGUGGCGAAGGCGGCUAACUGGCGCGUUUCUGACGCUGAGGUGCGAAAGCGUGGGGAGCAAACAGG
rnacentral:rRNA from 1 species